rnacentral:rRNA from 2 species
CGACUCUGGUAUUGAUUGGUGCUUGCAUCAUGAUUUACAUUUGAGUGAGUGGCGAACUGGUGAGUAACACGUGGGAAACCUGCCCAGAAGCGGGGGAUAACACCUGGAAACAGAUGCUAAUACCGCAUAACAACUUGGACCGCAUGGUCCGAGUUUGAAAGAUGGCUUCGGCUAUCACUUUUGGAUGGUCCCGCGGCGUAUUAGCUAGAUGGUGGGGUAACGGCUCACCAUGGCAAUGAUACGUAGCCGACCUGAGAGGGUAAUCGGCCACAUUGGGACUGAGACACGGCCCAAACUCCUACGGGAGGCAGCAGUAGGGAAUCUUCCACAAUGGACGAAAGUCUGAUGGAGCAACGCCGCGUGAGUGAAGAAGGGUUUCGGCUCGUAAAACUCUGUUGUUAAAGAAGAACAUAUCUGAGAGUAACUGUUCAGGUAUUGACGGUAUUUAACCAGAAAGCCACGGCUAACUACGUGCCAGCAGCCGCGGUAAUACGUAGGUGGCAAGCGUUGUCCGGAUUUAUUGGGCGUAAAGCGAGCGCAGGCGGUUUUUUAAGUCUGAUGUGAAAGCCUUCGGCUCAACCGAAGAAGUGCAUCGGAAACUGGGAAACUUGAGUGCAGAAGAGGACAGUGGAACUCCAUGUGUAGCGGUGAAAUGCGUAGAUAUAUGGAAGAACACCAGUGGCGAAAGGCGGCUGUCUGGUCUGUAACUGACGCUGAGGCUCGAAAGUAUGGGUAGCAAACAGGAUUAGAUACCCUGGUAGUCAUACCGUAACGAUGAAUGCUAAGUGUUGGAGGGUUUCCGCCCUUCAGUGCUGCAGCUAAC